AACGAACGCUGGCGGCAGGCUUAACACAUGCAAGUCGAGCGCCCCGCAAGGGGAGCGGCAGACGGGUGAGUAACGCGUGGGAAUCUACCCAUCUCUACGGAAUAACGCAUGGAAACGUGUGCUAAUACCGUAUACGUCCUUCGGGAGAAAGAUUUAUCGGAGAUGGAUGAGCCCGCGUUGGAUUAGCUAGUUGGUGGGGUAAAGGCCUACCAAGGCGACGAUCCAUAGCUGGUCUGAGAGGAUGAUCAGCCACACUGGGACUGAGACACGGCCCAGAGUCCUACGGGAGGCAGCAGGAGGGAAUAUUGGACAAUGGGCGCAAGCCUGAUCCAGCCAUGCCGCGUGAGUGAUGAAGGCCCUAGGGUUGUAAAGCUCUUUCACCGGUGAAGAUAAUGACGGUAACCGGAGAAGAAGCCCCGGCUAACUUCGUGCCAGCCGCCGCGGUAAUAC
rnacentral:rRNA from 1 species